GGGCGCUUGGUCUAGGGGUAUGAUUUGUAAGCGGUCUCACUCAUUCCCUGGUUAACAACUCCUAACCAACGUGCUAGUCGCUUCGCAUAAUCACAAUGUGCGUACUUGUGAAAGGUCGUGGGUUCAAUUCCCACAGCGUCCA